CCCCAAGGAUGAAACCUUCACAUGUCCGACCAUCUGAUCUCCACCAGAGCCUGAAAAGGUGAACCCACUGGUGUAGUCAUGGAUGGAACAGUCUGAGGGGA